GAGUUUGAUCCUGGCUCAGGAUGAACGCUAGCGGCAGGCUUAACACAUGCAAGUCGAGGGGUAACGGGGAAGCUUGCUUCCGCCGACGACCGGCGCACGGGUGCGUAACGCGUAUACAAUCUACCUUAUACUGGGGUAUAGCCUUUAGAAAUGAAGAUUAACCCCCCAUAGUCUCUUAGAGUGGCAUCACUUCUAGAGUAAAGGUUACGGUAUAAGAUGAGUAUGCGUUCUAUUAGUUUGUUGGUGUGGUAACGGCACACCAAGACUACGAUAGAUAGGGGCCCUGAGAGGGGGAUCCCCCACACUGGUACUGAGACACGGACCAGACUCCUACGGGAGGCAGCAGUGAGGAAUAUUGGACAAUGGAGGCAACUCUGAUCCAGCCAUGCCGCGUGCAGGAAGACUGCCCUAUGGGUUGUAAACUGCUUUUAUACAGGAAGAAACACCUCUACGUGUAGAGGCUUGACGGUACUGUAAGAAUAAGGAUCGGCUAACUCCGUGCCAGCAGCCGCGGUAAUACGGAGGAUCCAAGCGUUAUCCGGAAUCAUUGGGUUUAAAGGGUCCGUAGGUGGAUAAUUAAGUCAGAGGUGAAAUCUUGCAGCUCAACUGUAAAAUUGCCUUUGAAACUGGUUAUCUUGAGUUAUUAUGAAGUAGUUAGAAUAUGUAGUGUAGCGGUGAAAUGCAUAGAUAUUACAUAGAAUACCAAUUGCGAAGGCAGAUUACUAAUAAUCAACUGACACUGAUGGACGAAAGCGUGGGUAGCGAACAGGAUUAGAUACCCUGGUAGUCCACGCCGUAAACGAUGGUUACUAGCUGUUUGGACUUCGGUCUGAGUGGCUAAGCGAAAGUGAUAAGUAACCCACCUGGGGAGUACGUUCGCAAGAAUGAAACUCAAAGGAAUUGACGGGGGCCCGCACAAGCGGUGGAGCAUGUGGUUUAAUUCGAUGAUACGCGAGGAACCUUACCAGGGCUUAAAUGUAAGUUGCAUUAGUUAGAGAUAGCUAUUUCUUCGGACCACUUACAAGGUGCUGCAUGGUUGUCGUCAGCUCGUGCCGUGAGGUGUCAGGUUAAGUCCUAUAACGAGCGCAACCCCUGUUGUUAGUUGCCAGCGAGUCAUGUCGGGAACUCUAGCAAGACUGCCAGUGCAAACUGUGAGGAAGGUGGGGAUGACGUCAAAUCAUCACGGCCCUUACGUCCUGGGCUACACACGUGCUACAAUGGUAGGUACAGAGAGCAGCCACUGCGCGAGCAGGAGCGAAUCUAUAAAACCUAUCACAGUUCGGAUCGGAGUCUGCAACUCGACUCCGUGAAGCUGGAAUCGCUAGUAAUCGGAUAUCAGCCAUGAUCCGGUGAAUACGUUCCCGGGCCUUGUACACACCGCCCGUCAAGCCAUGGAAGUUGGAAGUGCCUGAAGUCCGUCACCGUAAGGAGCGGCCUAGGGUAAAGUCGAUAACUAGGGCUAAGUCGUAACAAGGUAGCCGUACCGGAAGGUGCGGCU
rnacentral:rRNA from 1 species